AUGGCGUACGAGACGGACUUCGGGUGGGGCGCCCCGAGCCGCGUGGAGCUCGUCUCCAUGUUCGCGGCGGAGCUGGUGACGCUGCUCGGAGCGAGGGAGGCCGGCGCCGUGCAGGUGUCCGUGGCGCUUCGCCGGCCCUUGAUGGAGGCGUUCGCGGACAACUUCCUUGCGCUGGCCGGGAGCAGCUAG
rnacentral:rRNA from 1 species